rnacentral:rRNA from 1 species
CGAUCCUACGGGAGGCAGCAGUAGGGAAUUUUGCGCAAUAGGCGAAAGCCUGACGCAGCGACGCCGCGUGAGGGAUGAAGGUCUUCGGAUCGUAAACCUCUGUCAGCAGGGAAGAACGGUCACUGUGCUAAUCAGCAGUGAAUUGACGGUACCUGCAAAGGAAGCACCGGCUAACUCCGUGCCAGCAGCCGCGGUAAUACGGAGGGUGCGAGCGUUAAUCGGAAUUACUGGGCGUAAAGGGAGCGCAGGCGGCGCGUUAAGCCUGGUGUGAAAGCCCGCGGCCCAACCGCGGGACUGCAUUGGGA